UUCGACUAUUCGACUAGGGGGUCAUCCCGACUUACCAACUCGAUGCAAACUACGAAUACCGAAGAAUGUUAUCACGGGAGACACACGGCGGGUGCUAACGUUCGUCGUGAAGAGGGAAACAACCCAGACCGCCAGCUAAGGUCCCAAAGUCAUAGUUAAGUGGGAAACGAAGUGGGAAGGCUCAGACAGCCAGGAUGUUGGCUUAGAAGCAGCCAUCAUUUAAAGAAAGCGUAAUAGCUCACUGGUCGAGUCGGCCUGCGCGGAAGAUGUAACGGGGCUAAACUAUGCACCGAAGCUGCGGCAGCGAACGUAUCACUUAAACUGAUUAAGUGAUACUCAAAUGUAUCAAAACGAUUGACGGAGCGAAGCGACGUCAAUGCGUCCAACAAAGUCGAGGCGGAAACGUCAGGCAGUCAGUUUAAGGAUACGUUCGUUGGGUAGGGGAGCGUUCUGUAAGCCUGUGAAGGUGUGCUGUGAGGCAUGCUGGAGGUAUCAGAAGUGCGAAUGCUGACAUAAGUAACGAUAAUGCGGGUGAAAAACCCGCACGCCGGAAGACCAAGGGUUCCUGUCCAACGUUAAUCGGGGCAGGGUGAGUCGACCCCUAAGGCGAGGCAGAAAUGCGUAGUCGAUGGGAAACGGGUUAAUAUUCCCGUACUGGUGAUAAUUGCGAUGGGGGGACGGAGAAGGCUAGGCUAUCCGGGCGACGGUUGUCCCGGUUUAAGGAUGUAGGCAGGUGAAUUAGGCAAAUCCGGUUCACUAUAUGCUGAGGUCCGACGACGAGUCACUACGGUGAUGAAGUAGCUCAUGC
rnacentral:rRNA from 1 species